GGAUUAGAUACCCUGGUAGUCCACGCCGUAAACGAUGUCUACUAGUUGUCGGUUGUCUUGUACGACGGGUAACGCAGCUAACGCGAUAAGUAGACCGCCUGGGGAGUACGGCCGCAAGGUUAAAACUCAAAUGAAUUGACGGGGGCCCGCACAAGCGGUGGAGCAUGUGGUUUAAUUCGAUGCAACGCGAAGAACCUUACCAAGUCUUGACAUCCUGCGAAUUUUCUAGAGAUAGAUUAGUGCCUUCGGGAACGCAGUGACAGGUGCUGCAUGGCCGUCGUCAGCUCGUGUCG
rnacentral:rRNA from 1 species